rnacentral:rRNA from 1 species
UACAGAGGGUGCGAGCGUUGUCCGGAAUCACUGGGCGUAAAGGGCGCGCAGGCGGUCCGUUAAGUCCGAGGUGAAAUCUCCCGGCUCAACUGGGAGGGGUCUUCGGAUACUGGCGGACUUGAGGAGUGCAGAGGUGAGUGGAAUUCUCGGUGUAGUGGUGAAAUGCGUAGAUAUCGAGAGGAACACCAGUGGCGAAGGCGGCUCACUGGGCACCACCUGACGCUGAGGCGCGACAGCGUGGGGAGCAAACAGG